rnacentral:lncRNA from 1 species
AUUCAUUUGCUUUCAAUAUCUGAAGGUCAUACAACAGGCUGGGAUGGGGAAUGCAGCUGUCAUUAAAAAUUUACUUUCUUUUUGUACUCCAAUUAAACUUACAGAUAAUAGCAGAUAAAAACAGCCACGCGAUUGCUUUCCUGAUGAAGGCACUGAUUUAUUGAUACUGAACUUGGCUUCAGUAUAGUUACACUCGGGAUGAAUUUGCAAAGGUUUGCUUCCAUUUUAGGAAGAAAAAAAUUGUCAGCUGUAAAAACAGCAGGAUGUGAUACUGUCCUUGAUGAGGAUUUUUCUUGGCAGAAUGGUAAACACGUCUUGCAAGUCCAUGACAUGCCACACUCCCCUUGAACACACGGUCAGCUUGAGCUCUCACAUAAAAUUAGGAACCUGGUCCUCUCCACUCCCUCUGCAGUCAAAGGAAAAGGGUGGAGGGUUGGAUCCACCUGAGGAGAUGGCAGGACUGAGCUUGGCCCUUCUGUAUUUUUCAGGAUCUGUGAGUUUUGUAACGUUAAAAGCGAAAUCCUUCUUGAGGAAUCACCGCUGCUCAACCUGCAGAAAAAACAUUAAGCACCAAAGAUCACUGGAAGCCACUUUUCAAAGAAGUCAUGGUGUAUGGAGACAGAUCCAUUGGAAUGAACUGAGUGUUGAAAUGGAAGAAAGAACUGACUCUUUUCUUGCUGUUUCAAAGGCCAGGAAUUCCCAGAGAACUCCAGUAAUUUUAAAGUAAGUGGGUUAGACUGAGGAUAUUUGAACUUCUCUUUCUAAGGCUCUCUCUUUCUAUGAAGUUCUCCAUCUCUUGUUGCAAUAUUGUUUGUUUUGUCCCCUCAAAACUAAUCAUAGCAGUGAUACUAGGGAUCGAUCUUCAACACUGGAUCAAAGGGAUUGUUUUACUGUGACAUUCAUUGCUGGUGAGAUUAGACUUCACAGCAGUUACCCACCCAACAACAGCCUCUGCUCAUCACUUGGGUGCAGUACGUUCAGAAACUGUUGAUAAUUUGGUAAUUGAGUCACUACAGAGCAUGUGUCUCUUUUGGUUAGGAAUGUAAGAAGUCACAAAAAAG